rnacentral:lncRNA from 1 species
AGGUUUGAAAUAAGUUACUUUUGUUGGUGUUGGGCCUCGUAGGGUCCAGCCCAAAAAUAACUUGGCAAAGGAAGAAUAAAAAAAAACAAGAAGAAGAAAACCCCUUCCUUUCUUUUUUUCUAGGGUUUGGGUGUGUGACGGGGCUAGAAAAGAAUAAAAAAAGAGAAAGAAAGAGAGAGAGAAAUAGAAGGUGGUGAAGAAGAAGAAAACAAAGAGAAAG